ensembl:snRNA U6 U6 spliceosomal RNA
GUGCUUACUUCAGCAGCACAGAUACUAAAAUUGAAAAAAAAUACAGAGAUUAGCCUGGCCCCUGAACAAGGAUGACACAGAUUUGUGAAACAUUUAAUUUUUUUUU